rnacentral:rRNA from 1 species
GAUGAACGCUAGCGGCAGGCUUAACACAUGCAAGUCGAGGGGUAUUGGUUUUCGGACCAAGAGACCGGCGCACGGGUGCGUAACGCGUAUGCAAUCUACCUUUUGCAGAGGGAUAGCCCAGAGAAAUUUGGAUUAAUACCUCAUAGUAUAGUACUUUGGCAUCAAGGAACUAUUAAAGUCACAACGGCAAAAGAUGAGCAUGCGUCCCAUUAGCUAGUUGGUAAGGUAACGGCUUACCAAGGCUACGAUGGGUAGGGGUCCUGAGAGGGAGAUCCCCCACACUGAUACUGAGACACGGACCAGACUCCUACGGGAGGCAGCAGUGAGGAAUAUUGGACAAUGGGCGCAAGCCUGAUCCAGCCAUGCCGCGUGCAGGAAUAAGGUCCUAUGGAUUGUAAACUGCUUUUANACAGGAAGAAACACACCCUCGUGAGGGUACUUGACGGUACUGUAUGAAUAAGGACCGGCUAACUCCGUGCCAGCAGCCGCGGU